CCGCUGCCGCGCUCCCCAGCCGCUGCGCACCUCGGGCCGCGGCGGGCCGGGGGCAGCGCGGAGCGCAGGUGAGGCCAGGCGCGCUGCGCAUGCGCGGCAGCCGGCGCCCCGCGGGGCUCAGGUGAGGCGGCGCACGUGGAGGGAGCGCGGGGCCGACCGUUACUCCGCUGAGGUAAUUAAAGCAGCCGCCCUAAUUGCAGUCAACUGAGCCGGGCGAGACUGUGGCGAGCGCUCCGCCGCGCCGCGGCUAACCCCGGCCCGUGCCUCAGCCUUCUCUGUGGGUGUCCUCGUCGGUGCGGUGAAGGCCCCUGGCUGCAGCUCUGCAGCUGGGGGAAGAACGGCCGUCGUGGGACCGGAUUGUUGCCGAGUCUCGGUCCUCACAGGUAAAUGAACAAGACAGCAGUGACAGAGCCCCUCUUCCAAAUGUGGGACUUCAGCAGAGGAACAACUGGGAGAUGCUGGGAGACAAUGGACACACAGAUGACGAGUAAAGCCAUUAACUGUUUCAACAUCCACAAAGGCGAAGCUGCUGCUGGUGUCCAUCCAUGGGACACAAGUAGGCCAGGGCCUUGAUGAUCUCUCUCUCUCCAACGUGCGAGAAGAGCGUUUAAUCUCUGUUUUGCUGUUCCCUCUUCUCUGAUGCAGUCUGUGGUCUUCUAACCUGGCUUCCUUACCCUAGGCCUGCAGCAAGAGGUCCCCUCCUGUUGAAUGUCUACUGAAGGAAUUGCAGGGGCCUUUCCUGAUAAAGGUGCUCUGUAUCCUCAGAUGAUGUCGGCGAGAAUGAUUUCACUCCCUCCAAAUGAAAGCUACACUGAGAUUAAAAGGAAGUGUUAAGUCCCUCAUUCUUGUGGACACCAUGACUCUCAGAGGGAUGUUUAAAAAAAAAAAUCGAGGACUAAAUACAAAUAUCCUUGGACUCUGAAGGGCUUCUGACAUGCUGAAAACAAAGCUUGUCCUCAUGGCCCUGCUUGUGUCCCAUCAGCAUCAGUGGUGGCUUGGGGAAGAGAGAGCUGCAGAGGAGAGUGACCCUUCCUAGCCUUGCUGUAUGGUUUGGCUCCUGAAUUCCCAGGACACCCAGCAGUCACACACUUUCUUCCCUGGGUGUUUAGUUAAUGGAGGGUGACAGCUCCUCAUGCUGCUCCCAGGGAGGGAUCCAGCUGAGAGACUGGCUGUGGCACUGAGCCCUGUUCCCACAAGGAAGCCUGUUUCAGCUAUUUACGGCCCUCUCUUUGAUCUAGCUUUUGACAUGAAAAGACAUGUCAGCCAGGUAGAGGGAAAGGAAAAAAAAAAUGCGGGAAAAGCCCCACAUCUCUGCUUGUACAUGAUCUGCUCCCUAGCACACACCUGCCUCAGCCACAGAUCCUUAUCAGCCCUCUGAUUUCCUUGCUGUCAUCUCUGCUUUCCCUUCACACUGGUGUAUAACUUCUAGAGACAACUUUCUGCACUUUGUUUCCUGCUCAGUAAGAUGCUGUGGCUUCCAUGCCCCUUCUCUCUGGCCUUUUCCUUAUUUCUACAGUACAACCAGUGUGGGAAAUGCCCUCAUGUCCUCCUCAUUGCAUGCAGUGCCAGGUGAUACAGAUCUUCAUUUCUUCCCUAAAAUGCUGCACUGUUACAGCAAGCAGCUGUUUGCAGCUCACUUCAGAAGUAGCAGCCAUACAGCUGUAGGUUACUUUGUCCCUCCCUGGAAAUCAGAUCUUUUUUUCUGCUAAGCAGCUUAGGCCCUUUCAGGGUGAAAAGUACAAUAAAAGUAUGAGAAUUUGAUGGGCCAGGGGCUGCAGACACACUAGAACACAGCGUUACUCACUUGUGGUUUUUUUACUUGUGGUUUUUUUCUAGGGGACUAGAUGUUCUAGACCUGCUAAGAAAGCAAACAAUGAGUAUGAGUAUUGCUGAGAUGCAGCGACCUCUGUGGUGGAGAUAACCACUAGUACCAACUGCUGAAUGGCAUGGGAAGGAGAAAAAUCAGAUGUGAACUCCUGCUUUUAUCAGUCAAUAAUUUUCCUGUGGUUUCAUGGCUUUGCAAAGCUGGGUGUUCCUGAGCAAUCCCUGAUCCACCUGCUCUGGUUCUUUUAUAUGGCUUUCAGGCAACAAACCAGGGCUGGAAUCCUCUUGUACAAGAUGUCUGCCUGGUCUGGGGCCUGCAGUCCCACAUGAGCUGUGCUUCUGAGAGAUGGGGCCUAGUUUACAAGAGUUCUUGGCUUUACUCGGGCAGUGAUGGCUCUUGGCUUCAUCCAAACUCCUGCUGUGAUGAUUUCUUGGGAAACUUGGCAGCCAGUGAACCAGGCCUUCUAGCCCUUCCUCUUCCCACAGCCAACAGGGAGAUGGGCUGCCUUCCUGCUGUCCUACCUGCAUCCUCCCAUGGUGAGAGGUGACUCUUGGUGCCUUCUAGGUGCUGGCGGCAGGGUUGGCACUGAGCAGGGUCAAGUGAACAGCACUAGCCCUUCUCCACAUGCUUGAUGUUUUGCUGAGACCUCCACAUCGUAACAGUUCUGUUUUGGGAACAGCCUGAACUGGGCAUGACCUGACACUUGUCAGAAUGCAGUUGCAAUUGGGACUUUCCCCUUCCUCAAGGGGGGAAGGCCCUUGGAGCUAGGUGCUGCUCGAGGAUGCUGGUAAAGAACAGGCCCUGCCCCACUAGGAAAACAAGCCAAGUGUGAGAAGGGGCACAGACAGGGCACUGGCACCUUGCUGACAGUGUCUGUAACCCAACCAGUUGACUCUCAGAUUAAUGCUUUAUCUUUUAGGGAUCCUGCUGUGUCCUGCAGAAUUUAGGAUCCUCUCAAGCAAUGGGAGAGGAAGCAACAGGAAAACAAAGGGGGUUUCCUGCUACCUCUUGACACAGGAAGCCCUGCACUGUCUGGGGGAACCACCACUACUGAGUGCAGAGGUGUUGGGCUUUGAGACCAUAUCAGAACAAAGUAGAAGCUCAAGCAGACAAAAUUCUUGUUCCCAUUCUCCCUUCUCUUUCAGUAAUUCAGUGUAAGGCCACAAUUAAAGAUUUAACUGCCUCCAAAUAAUAUAGCAGAGCUAAUACCCACUGUUAUCUCCUUGGGCCCAAGAUCAGACCUUGAGAGCAGCAGAGUACAGGCAGAGUUGACAUGCGCUGAAACACCUGAGAAGCAGACCUGCAGUCUGAGGUACCUGCUGGGGGUACCAGUAGCUUUAAUUCUGCCCACAUUUAGCCCACCCUGUAAGUAUUUUAAUGCUGCAAGCAAGCACCUGGGUGCUGAGGGGCAGCAUUCAGGGACCCAGCAUGACCAGCUGGUUUCAGUGUGUUUUUAGAGGGCCUUGUUCAUGAAAGGCUUGAACUCAGGCUGGGCAGGGCAGCAGUAACAUCCUUAUGUAAUACAUAAAAGCCUGGCUGAUUCAUGUGUGGGUUAAUAACUUUCUUUGGCGUACUUGGGGCAGGGUACCAUGACUGUGUUAUCAGAGCUGUUAGCCUCUGCAUAAAAAUCAUGCCACAAAAAAAAAGUUCUCUUUGGGUAGCCUUGGUUUUGUGCUGCUUUUUUUUUAAUAAAGUAAAAUACAGAUUCUGGAAUAUGGCGGUUGGACAAGAGCAGGAUGGAAGUGAGGCAAACUCUCAGAAUUGGGCUUUUAUUGUCAGUUUAAUUGACUUUGGUGUUAUGCUGUAAUCUCAGGAGGUCUUCCCAGACUGUCUACAUAAGGGAAGUUCUAAAGUAUGUGCUGGGGAAAUUGUUAAAUGGAAGCAUCACCAUAGCAGGCUGUUCGAGGCAUUUCUGUUCUUGUGUUAAAGAGCACCUCUGCUCAGAUCAGCAUCAGCCCCUACCAAAGCAGUACAAGCAGCAUCUGUGUACCUUGGCUGGUGAGGAAUGAAUGUGUUUAACCUAGAGUCCUUUCCAUUCACACCCAAUCUUCCAGCCUAGCUUUUUAUGUAGAAACUUAUCUCUGGGUUUGAGAAGCACCUACGGAAAGCUGUGCUUGGGAGCAAAUACUAUGUCAGAGAAAGAGAGCUGUAUUUACCAGCUUUGUAGAAGAGGCACUGCAAGACUUAACACCCAUGAAAGUCACAUUUGAGUUAAUGUCUCUGGGACAGACUCACCUUGUUCAGGCUUAACCCCUGCUUCCUUCCUGUUCUUGCCUCUGUUGAAUAUUUUUAACCUACCACUCAGGGGCAUCCUGCACACACUCUCCUCUAGCCUCCUGCCCUUCCUGCCCUUCCCAGCAUGGGGGACAUGAACACACUGGCAUCUUCCACUGACACUGCCUUCUGCACUGCCCUCCUGCAGCUCAGUUUGGGACACAGUUUCCCAUGCUUAUGCACAGCUUUGGCUUGUCAGAGAUCAAGGGCAACUCACUGCAGGUCUCUGACCCAGUCCAGACCAGCAUCAUGUGCAUAUCCAGUGUGGGGAACCCCAGAUUCUGUUUUUACAGCAGCAGUUGAGCUCAGCCUCCUGUGGGAGCUUCCCAGCCUCUCUAGUUCCUCUCCUUUCUCUGGAUGUGUUCAGCAAGAACUGGAUGUCUGCUCCACUAAGUCCGUUCCCCAUAGAUAUGUUUUUUUAUUGCGUUCUGUGGAUGGGGAAAGUGAACUCAGCAUGGCUAUGGGCAUGUGGUUUAAAGACCAUAUUUUUCUAAAGACAUCAGAUGCUUGUCUUUCUCUGAAAGUUUGUUCUGCAUCCACUAGCUAGAGUACACUUUAUGUCCCCUGUCAGUCACCCUGAUACCUCUCUAACUGUGACAGUCCUCUCCUGCUUCACCAAGUAGCAAACCAAACCACAAAGCAUCAAGUCAUCCCUAAGUAAACCUGACCUACCUCCAAGAAUUACACUAGUGUCAGGACUUGCUGGAAGUCAGGUCAGUUCUGCUGGUGGAAAACAGGCAUGUGAGCAAUGUCUCAACCUCCAGUUGCUGCCUGGUGUCAGGCAAGGAAUAAUUAAACCAAAUUUGGCCCUAAGAGUUGCUCCCCAUCUUCCAGCCAAGCUGAGCUCCAGCCUGACUUAAGACAUUAUUUCCUACCUGCUUCCACAAGUGCUUUCUCCCACACACCCCACCACAUCCUCUGUUUCAGGACAGAGGCAUUUUCUGCUAGAUCCACUUGGAUAUAAACAGCAUAAAGGAAGCAAUAAGGAAACUCCUCCCUAUCCCUUACUCUAACCACUUCAGGCAUACUGCCAGCUUGCUCCAGGGUAGAAAUUAUCACAAACUUUGGGAGCUUCCUUACCUGGAGAGACUUCAACUCUGGUGCAUCAGUGACUGUCUGGGAGUAGAUGCCCAUUUCAAUACAACAGCCAUGCUGCAAAUUACAACUGCUCCAGAGUGCCUCUUCAAGUGGUUGCUUUUGGUCUCCCCUUCACAAGUCAGGUAGGCUGGUUAUCUAUUAAAUAGGGAGAGAGCACAGAGAGAGAGAGAGAGAAUACACAGAGGAAAUCAGGCAGUUUCCUGUUUGUUUACCAUGAACAAAAGCUUGUUUGCCUGAAAGUUGCUAGUGGGCCAGCCCAGCUGCUGUGACUGGUGCAGAGCUGAGCUCUUUGACUAGCAUGAAAGAAAGAAAGAAGGCAAAGUCUCCCAGGAAGGAAAAAAAAACAAAACCAAAGGUCUUCUUGGAGCUGAGGCAAAGCAGUGGGCAGGGAGAUUUCACCUUGGCUUGCAGGGCUCUGAUGUGUGAAGGUGGCAACCAACUGCUGUUCUUCCAUCUCAAGCAAGAUGUGCAUUCAGCCCCCCUCAUACAGGGCCCUUUAGUUGCCCCACCAGGUCUUACAUUGCCCAUUACCAGCAGAAUUUUCCCAAAACCUGGUCCCUGUAGCUUACUUAGGUUUUGGGCUGUAUUUAGACAAAUACAAGAAAAACAAGUUAUGAGUCUGUGCUGGCAUUAAUCACUCUGGAGCCACAAAUCUACAGGGCUUCAAAUUUAAAAACUGCCAAGCUUUUACCAACACUGGGUCCUCCAGUAUGAAUUCAUCAUACUAAUGUUCUGGACCCAAAGACUCAACGCUCUUCUAAUGUCCAGCUAAAAGAACUUGCAUCUCUGAAGUCAUGCCUAGACACUUCUGUUGUUUCUGUCCACCCUGAAUUAGCAAUAAACCAGGGACCGCCUUUGGCAGGUGGGAAAGGAGGAAUGCUCAAAGGGCUGCAAGGAGACAGGCUGCAAAGCCAAGCCAGCCUGGGACAGAAAAGGAAACAGGCAUUUGCACCUUUCAUUGUGCUGCAUUAGGUUAGAGGAGAUAAAAAAUGGAGCUGGAAACACUCAGCAGAGUGAAAUGGGCAUCAGAAGUUCACCAGGACAGCCCCGCACAGGGACUAAACCCUUGUACCUGCCCUCCUGAGCAGUACUGUCCAUCUGACGGCUCUUGUGCCAGCUGGUGCUUUUUCUUCCUCGCCCGGAGACUGUGCUAUUGUUUUUGCCCUUGUCCAUGGCCACUCCUUGCAUCCUCUGCCCAGGGCAGGAUGACCUCCCUUCGGGAGGCUGAGGGACACCCUUUGGUCCUUGCUGCCCUUCCCACGUGGAGAUAAUUGCUGCUGCCAUCUGGCGGGAGAGCAGCCCACCUGCCAGCCUCAGCUGCUCCAGCAUGGAUUCAUCUUGCGUCUGAAAAAGGUGACCUCUUUGCAAAUGUCCUUCCUGGCUUAUGUGGUCUGUCAGAGUUAGCAGCAAAGCUAUAGCCUCCGCCACUCACGUGCAAAACACACCCGGCCCUGUGACUUUGGUGCCAAAUGUAACAAUGGCACCAUUGGAAAAUGGAAGGAUCCAGGAGUACAUGGUGUGGUGCUGGCGUAAGUCAGCUCUGGGGAUGGAGAGCCUGACAGAAGGACGUUUAAUUCUGGCUAGCAAACACCCAGGCAAAGGUCUACAGUAGAACCUUUCUCCAAGUAAAUUUUUGGGCUAUUUUAGCUGGGUUCCUUAAAGAACUGUGUGCUUUCUUCAGCCCAGUAACACAUCCAGCCUUGCUGGGGGAACACUGGCUCUAUGCGCUCAUGCUGUUUCUUCUCCAGAGAAAACCAAUUUCAAACUAAUUUGAUGGGGGGAUUAGAAGUUGUCAAAUAUACUAAAUUCAAAGUGUUUUGUGCAAAUAGGUGGCAAAAGUGAAGAAAACCUGACCACAUAAAGCAUCCCCAUCCCCAAAGCAAAAGUUUUAGCAUGGCUGCAAUCCCUACUAAGUAGCAGAAGGCCCACACAACAGAAAACUGGUGUAACUACCCAGUGGAGGAUAUUCUUCAAUCAGACUUUGCCAUUAAUUUCAGACAGUGGGAAUCCAGGCGUGACAGCCAGACCAGGGGCCCAUGGGCUUUUCAGUUCACAGAAAACCUGGCAUUUCUCCACUUCCCUUCCAGUGGCAUCAUCCAGCUGCCUCCCACCUCUGAUCACAGCUCACCUUGGGCUGAAGCGUCUUACCCAAAAGAUGUGGCACAUGGUGGUCAUGGAAUACUAUGUCAGAGACAGAGGUUGCUCCUCCAUGUGUGGUCACAAGACCGUCCCGCUUUUGCUUUCUCCAAGAAUAAGGUGAAGGGGGAGAUCUGCUAUUCCUGGAGCAUCUCCAGCACCUUUGUAUGCAAGAGAGUUGUGAAGCUGGCAGCCCUUGCAGUAGCUCUGCCUUGCAGCUGGGAGCCCACCUCCACAGGCCCACAGGGUGGCAGGUGACCAUUCACAGCACUAGGCUGAUCACAUACCUUACACAGGUUCUCUGGGAGGGCAGACCAGGACCUGCACAGCAAAACUCCUUUCUCUGCCCUCAGUGCGAAACCACAGGCCUUGAACCUCUCUCAUUUCUCCACCCCAGGUUGUGCUCCACUUUCAGGAGCGAGUUUUUGUUACUGAUUAUUAAGAGCAACAAAGUUAGAAAUGCCAGAGAGGGUGGGGAUACCUUGUUUGUUCGAGCAGCAGAGGCCUGCCUUAUGUUACCCAAGCCUAGAGCUCUAUUGCCCUGACAAGUAACAGUGCUGAAAGCCAGUGCUCACACCCUGCUAAUACCCUCUGAACAGUGAGAGGGAAGGGCCAGCAUCCUGGGAAGCAAGAGUCCAGCCUUGGCCAGGAGUGCCAGGCAGGCCAGCCCUUGACAACACUUAUUUUUGUUUUUACAUCAAAGAGUCUGCCAGCACGUGAGAAGCUUGGCAGAGGAUGCCAGGCAGUGCCCACUCGCUACUGUGCAGUGCUCUGAGCAGUACCCAUCCAGCAAGCAGGCAGCUGUUUCCUCACCCACUACCCCUGUGCAGCCCAUGCAGAACUUUGUCCUGAUUUUAGGGUCACUGUUCCCAUCUGGAGCUAGACAGCUCCACGGUCCACACACUCUACAAGGCUGAAGAGCAGCUAUAAGCACAAUACAAACAAGGCGUUUGGCUAGCACACACCGAGACAGCUAUAGGUUCACCAGCAGCUUUGAAGUCUGAUAAGCUCCAUGGCAGCUUUAGGCAUUGAGUGAGGCGGAGCAAGGGUAUAGGAGCAGUUAACAGCCAGGGAACAUUUGUAAAAAUAAUUACACCCAACAGCAAAGAAAACUGAUUCAUCAGACCCAGGGGCCACUCUUUAAGAGCCUCAGCCACCUCCGGAGAAGCUAACAGCAAAAGCAGCAGGAAACACUCUGCACACCACUGAAAAUGCAGAACUGGGAGGAGAAGCAAUGCAGAGCCACAGAAGCUGAGAAGGGAUUUCAGAUGCACUGUUUUGAGCCCAACACCUGGUGCAUGAAACUAACUGAAAGAAAUGCAGAAAACGCUAAGGGAGCUUUCAAAAGAGCCUUGGGAGAAAAGUGGAAGCUUCUUUACAAGUGUCUGAAGUGGUAAACCAGAAGAAUAAAGAACAAGAGCACUGGAGAGGGAAGAGGCCUGGAAGUUAUUUGGGAGUUAUGGACCUGACUGUUCAGCUGCUGAAAAUAGUUUGCAAUCUCAGGCACCUCAUCACUGCAAGAGCGUAUUCUGCCCAGCAGAAAAACCAGGCAAUCUUUCCAUUUUGAGGGGAGGGCAACAACUCAAAGCAGCUAUUGAAUGAUGAAAUGGGCCCACCAUUAACAGCAGCUUUCCCAAGAGCUCAACAUCCUCAGGGUAGUGAUGACACCCACCUAAGACUGCAUUGCUCAGAAAUAACAGACACCGUACAAGUGUCCUAUUAUCAUCUGCAGGAUGGGGAUAGUGGUGUGCCAGGCUAGUACUGGGCCUUCUGACAGCAGGUUUGAAGCUCACUGUAGGCUGUAUCUGGUACAAUACACCCGUUUUCUUUCCAGUAGCAUGGUGUUGCAUCAAAUAAGCACCCUGGAAAAUCUACGUACAUGCAGUAAACAACAGCCUGAAACGUGCACGGAAAACAGUUAAAAGCCCUCACAAUAACCUCAGCAAACUCAGCCUUACCUUGUUGCAGGAAUUCAGCUUAAGAAUCAUGUUUUGAGCUUUUAAGGUGUCAGGAGCAAUACCUAUUUGCCUGUGCUAAGUGACUUUUAUCCAAAUAAUUAGCACAAGUAUGAGGUGUCUUGCUCCACUGACCAAACCUUUGUUCUUCUGAGAUAUCAAUAAUAAAAAAACCUAAUGCACAAAAAAACCAA